UUGCUAGCUUCAACAGCAUAUAUAUUAAAAUUGGAAUGAUACAGAGAAGAUUAGCAUGGCCCCUGUGCAAGAAUGACAUGCAAAUUCAUGAAUCAUUCCCUAUUUUU
ensembl:snRNA U6 U6 spliceosomal RNA